rnacentral:rRNA from 1 species
CCUACGGGUGGCUGCAGUGGGGAAUAUUGGACAAUGGGGGGAACCCUGAUCCAGCCAUGCCGCGUGUGUGAAGAAGGCCCUCGGGUUGUAAAGCACUUUCAGUGAGGAAGAACGCCUGGUGGUUAAUACCCAUCAGGAAAGACAUCACUCACAGAAGAAGCACCGGCUAACUCCGUGCCAGCAGCCGCGGUAAUACGGAGGGUGCGAGCGUUAAUCGGAAUUACUGGGCGUAAAGCGCGCGUAGGUGGCUUGAUAAGCCGGUUGUGAAAGCCCCGGGCUCAACCUGGGAACGGCAUCCGGAACUGUCAAGCUAGAGUGCAGGAGAGGAAGGUAGAAUUCCCGGUGUAGCGGUGAAAUGCGUAGAGAUCGGGAGGAAUACCAGUGGCGAAGGCGGCCUUCUGGACUGACAUUGACACUGAGGUGCGAAAGCGUGGGUAGCAAACAGGAUUAGAUACCCCUGUAGUC